GACGAACGCUGGCGGCGUGCUUAACACAUGCAAGUCGAACGGAAAGGCCCUGCUUUUGUGGGGUGCUCGAGUGGCGAACGGGUGAGUAACACGUGAGUAACCUGCCCUUGACUUUGGGAUAACUUCAGGAAACUGGGGCUAAUACCGGAUAGGAGCUCCUGCUGCAUGGUGGGGGUUGGAAAGUUUCGGCGGUUGGGGAUGGAUUCGCGGCUUAUCAGCUUGUUGGUGGGGUAGUGGCUUACCAAGGCUUUGACGGGUAGCCGGCCUGAGAGGGUGACCGGCCACAUUGGGACUAAGAUACGGCCCAGAAUCCUACGGGAGGCAGCAGUGGGAAAUAUUACACAGUGAGCGGAAGCCUGAUGCGGCGACGCCGCGUGCGGGAUGACGGCCUUCGGGUUGUAAACCGCUUUCGCCUGUGACGAAGCGUGAGUGACGGUAAUGAAUAAAGAAGCACCGGCUAACUACGUG
rnacentral:rRNA from 1 species